rnacentral:tRNA from 1 species
GCUCUGGUAGCUCAGCGGCAGAGCAAUCGGCUGUUAACCGAUCGGUCGUAGGUUCGAACCCUACCCAGAGCGCCA